GAUGAACGCUGGCGGCGUGCCUAAUACAUGCAAGUCGAGCGAACAGACGAGGAGCUUGCUCCUCUGACGUUAGCGGCGGACGGGUGAGUAACACGUGGAUAACCUACCUAUAAGACUGGGAUAACUUCGGGAAACCGGAGCUAAUACCGGAUAAUAUAUUGAACCGCAUGGUUCAAUAGUGAAAGACGGUUUUGCUGUCACUUAUAGAUGGAUCCGCGCCGCAUUAGCUAGUUGGUAAGGUAACGGCUUACCAAGGCAACGAUGCGUAGCCGACCUGAGAGGGUGAGCGGCCACACUGGAACUGAGACAAGGUCCAGACUCCUACGGGAGGCAGCAGUAGGGAAUCUUCCGCAAUGGGCGAAAGCCUGACGGAGCAACGCCGCGUGAGUGAUGAAGGUCUUCGGAUCGUAAAACUCUGUUAUUAGGGAAGAACAAAUGUGUAAGUAACUAUGCACGUCUUGACGGUACCUAAUCAGAAAGCCACGGCUAACUACGUG
rnacentral:rRNA from 1 species